CAGAGGGCAGGGUGCUGGCUAACGGCCAGUCGAGGCGACUCGCAGGAAAGUGCCACAGAAAACAGACCGCCCGUUCCGCGAGGGGCGGGUAAGGGUGAAACGGUGCGGUAAGAGCGCACCGCGUCCGGGGUGACUCGGACGGCUCGGUAAACCCCACCUGGAGCAAGAGCCAAUAGGAGCGCGUCCCCGCUGUCCGGGGGACAGGGGUUGCCCGCCCCAUGCGUUCGGGUUGCUCGCUGAUGAGGUCCCUGGGCAACCAGGGCCCUAGAUGAAUGUUCAUCGCCCGUCC
rnacentral:misc_RNA from 1 species